rnacentral:lncRNA from 1 species
AUGAGGAGCCCCGGCAGGCCGCAGGGCCCGGGGGCCCCGGGGACAGUGUCCCGUCUGCAGCCUCGGCCUCCUCGGAGACCCGGGCCCAGGGCGCAGAGCCCGCCGCCAGGAAGGCUGGUCCCCUGCGAGGAGGGGCCGCCGGGGGCGCAGAAACAGAGGCAGAGGCAGCAGGGGGUCCCAGGGGGGCAGGCAGGCCGAGCGGGGAGGGCGGCCCACGGACGCCAGGCGGGAGUCGGACGCCUCGGACGCCUCUGCCCAGGGCAGCCUGGGGGUCGUGCUGCAGGGGCCGGAGCAGGGCGACCCGAGCGAGAGCGCCGCCGAGGCUCCGAGCGCGCUGUCCGCCGCGCUGCACGAGGCCGCCCAGGAGCUGAGCAGGAAGGAGUGGGCCCUGCCGAGCGCGCAGGAGAGGGGCCCCGCGAGUUCCUGGCCCUGGGGACGGUGACCCACGGAGCCGAGCAGGAGCCCCGGGGCGGGAGGCCGUCCCGGACCUGGCGGCCCUGCUUGGCGUGCGAGCCGCGGGGGACAGGAGCCCGCCGACGGCGACGCUGCGGACGGCCCGCCGCGGCCACACGGGGAGCCCGGCGACGAGGGGCUGGAGCACCCCGAGUUCGUGGCCAUCGUGGCCUCCACGGACCCGUCGGACCCAUCGGCCCGGGAGGAGCUGCAGAAGAUCGCGGCGGUGAUGGAGGUCCUGGGCUGGAGCAGAGACAGAGCGGACGGAUGCGCCCCCCGAGGUCCUCCGCGUCAUGGCCCGGGACGCCGGGGGAGCCCGCGUGCAGGUGGAGGACGCAGGCCGCCGGGUGGACGCCGUGGCGCUGCGGGAGGCCACGCGCGACGGGAGCCUGCGGGAGUCCUCUGCUCCCUGGCCGCGCCCGGCCGCGCUCCGCUCCCGGGGCGAGAGGGCGCCGCGUGGCCUCCCGAGGGCUGGGCGGACGGCGAGGGGCACCUCCUGGAGCUCGUGGCCUGCUGGCCGCGCGGGAGGCCCGGGAAGGCGGCCGCCAAGGCGGGAGGGCGGCGGCGCCCGAGGCGGGCUGGGCGAGGUCCUGGCGCUGCUGGCUGCGGGGGGCCGUGCGGGCGGCGCAGCGCGGGGAGCCGGGGCGCGGGCCGCGGGCGUGCAGGGAGGUGGGCGAGGCGGGCGCGGGCCCCUUCCCGUCGGGCUCGGGCGGACGCGGAGCGGGAGGCGGGGGGAGGCCGCGGCGGAAGGGCCGUCACUCCGGACUCGCGCGCCCACGACCAGGCGGCCGCGCCCCGGCAAAAGAAGGGGCGCGCGGGCGCCGGGGCCCACGGCUCGGAGUCCGCCCGGGGCAGGAAGGCUGGGCGCGGCGGGGGCAGCCCCCCAGGUGCCGCUAG